CCUACGGGAGACAGCAGUGAGGAAUAUUGGUCAAUGGCCGGAAGGCUGAACCAGCCAUGCCGCGUGAAGGGCAGGGCCCUAGGGGCGUUAAACUUCUGUUGUGCGGGAGCAAGAAUGGGCACGUGUGGCCAGACGAGAGUACCGUACGAAUAAGCAUCGGCUAACUCCGGGCCAGCAGCCGCGGUAAGACGGGGGAUGCAAGCGUUAUCCGGAUUUCGGGGGGUUCAAGGGUGCGUAGGCUGUGAGGUAAGUCAGCGGUGAAAUGCCCCCGCUCAACGGGGUGAAGUGCCAUUGAUACUGCCUUGCUGGACUGCGGAUGCCGUGGGAGGAAUGUGUGGUGUAGCGGU
rnacentral:rRNA from 1 species